GUUUUUUCCAACUGCCACUCUCUCUGGAGCAGCAGGAGAAGUAAGGUGUGUGACUGAAAAGAUCCUGAUCAUCCAUCAACAACUGGCCUUUGAGGAUUUCAGCUGGAUGAGAGAAUAUAUCUGAUCAGCCUGAUGGACAGCCUGACUGGAGAAAGACCUCUACCCUGCUGGGAGCAGCUGUGAACAUCAAUUGGGACUCCUGGUUAUCAAGGACUAUUGCAUGUCUGGCACUCUAACUACCUCUGCCAUGUAGCAAAUGAGGAUUAGAAGCUUCCAGAACAUUUUCCAGACUAUUGCUGGAUGCUUUAAGAAGCAACAACUAAGUGCCUAAUACUGGUCCUAUCCAUGGUCUGAAGAAGGGGUU
rnacentral:lncRNA from 1 species